rnacentral:rRNA from 1 species
CCUACGGGUGGCUGCAGUGAGGAAUAUUGGUCAAUGGACGAGAGUCUGAACCAGCCAAGUAGCGUGAAGGAUGAAGGCCCUAUGGGUUGUAAACUUCUUGUAUAAGGGAACAAAAUGAGCCACGUGUGGGAUUUUGUAUGUACCAUAUGAAUAAGGAUCGGCUAACUCCGUGCCAGCAGCCGCGGUAAUACGGAGGAUCCGAGCGUUAUCCGGAUUUAUUGGGUUUAAAGGGAGCGUAGGUGGCUUGUUAAGUCAGUUGUGAAAGUUUGCGGCUCAACCGUAAAAUGGCAGUUGAAACUGGCAGUCUUGAGUACAGUAGAGGUAGGCGGAAUUC